AUGGAGCGCGGGGCUGCGAGGAGCCACAUGUGCCUGGAGCCAAAGCACAGAGAGGGCAGGGAGUCCUCGGAGACCCAGGCUGGACUGAGGGGGAGCCGUACUCAUGACCCCACGCUCGAGUGCACCCGAUGCCCUGACUGCCCGAGGUGUCCCACGUGCCAAGCUCCUGAACACCUGGUAGGGCUGUCAGUCUUCAUCUUCUCUCCUAAACCCAAGGACACUCUCACAAACUCCCAAACUCCCGAGGUCACCUGCGUGGUGGUGGACGUGAGCCCAGAACCACCCGAUGUCCAGUUCACCUGGUACGUGGACAAUAAAGAGGUGAACACGGCCACAACGAUGCCGAAUACGGAACGGCUCAAUAGCACCUACCGCGUGGUCAGUGUCCUCCCCAUCCAGCACCAGGACUGGCUGAGUGGAAAGGAGUUCAAGUGUAAGGUCAACAGCAGAGCCCUCCCGGCCCCCAUUGAGAAGAUCAUCUCCAAGGCCAAAGGGCAUCCCCGGGAGCCACAGGUGUAUGUCCUCCCCCCAAGCCAUGCUGAGCUGUCCAGAGAAAGGGUCAUCGUGACCUGCUUGGUCAAAGACUUCUACCCACCUGACAUCAACGUUGAGUGGCAGAGCAACGGGCAGCCAGAGCCGGAGGAGAAGUACAGCACCACCCCGCCCCAGCGGGAGGGCGAUGGGUCUUAUUUCCUGUACAGCAAGCUCUCAGUGGAGACGAACAGGUGGCAGCAGGGAGACGUGUUCAUAUGUGGGGUGAUGCACGAGGCUCUCGACAAACAGUACACGCAGAUAUCCACCGCCAAGGCUACGGAGAUAGUCCUGGACGAGAGCUGUGCUGAGACCCAGGACGGGGAGCUGGACGAGCUGUGGACCACCAUCUCCAUCAUCACACUCUUCCUGCUCAGUGUGUGCUACAGUGCCACCGUCACCCUCUUCAAGGUGAAGUGGAUCUUCUCCUCGCUGGUGGAGCUGAAGCCGACCAUCGUCCCCGACUACAGGAACGUGAUUGGGAAGGGGGCCUAGGGCCACUCCUCCUGGGCGGGCUUCCCAGACCGCCCCAGACCCCAGACAGGAUUCGCGUCCUUCACUUCAUGAUGCUCCA